rfam:Mus musculus chromosome 8, GRC primary reference assembly.
GGCUAGUUAGCUCAGUUGGUUAGAGCAUGGUGCUAAUAAUGCCAAGGUCGCAGUUUCAAACCUGUAUGGGCUA